rnacentral:tRNA from 1 species
GGAAUAUGGCUCAGUGGUAGAGUACUUGCCUCCUAUGCAUGAAGCCCUGGGUUCGAUUCCUCAAUACUCCA